rnacentral:rRNA from 1 species
GAUGAACGCUGGCGGCGUGCCUAAUACAUGCAAGUCGAGCGAACGGACGAGAAGCUUGCUUCUCUGAUGUUAGCGGCGACGGGUGAGUAACACGUGGAUAACCUACCUAUAAGACUGGGAUAACUUCGGGAAACCGGAGCUAAUACCGGAUAAUAUUUUGAACCGCAUGGUUCAAAAGUGAAAGACGGUCUUGCUGUCACUUAUAGAUGGAACCGCGCUGCAUUAGCUAGUUGGUAAGGUAACGGCUUACCAAGGCAACGAUGCAUAGCCGACCUGAGAGGGUGAUCGGCCACACUGGAACUGAGACACGGUCCAGACUCCUACGGGAGGCAGCAGUAGGGAAUCUUCCGCAAUGGGCGAAAGCCUGACGGAGCAACGCCGCGUGAGUGAUGAAGGUCUUCGGAUCGUAAAACUCUGUUAUUAGGGAAGAACAUAUGUGUAAGUAACUGUGCACAUCCUGACGGUACCUAAUCAGAAAGCCACGGCUAACUACGUG